AACGAACGCUGGCGGCAUGCCUAACACAUGCAAGUCGAGCGGAGCGGCGGACGGGUGAGUAAUGCCUAGGAAUCUGCCCGGUAGUGGGGGAUAACGUCCGGAAACGGGCGCUAAUACCGCAUACUAUCAGAUGAGCCUAGGUUGAAUUGGCUAGGUGGUGGGGUAAAGGCCUACCAGGGCGACGAUCCGUAACCGGUCUGAGAGGAUGAUCAGUCACACUGGAACUGAGACACGUUCCAGACUCCUACGGGAGUCAGCAUGGGGGAAUAUUGGACAAUGGGCGAAAGCCUGAUCCAGCCAUGCCGCGUGUGUGAAGAAGGUCUUCGGAUUGUAAAGCACUUUAAGUUGGGAGGCGUUACCAACAGAAUAAGCACCGGCUAACUUCGUGCCAGCAGCCGCGGUAAUAC
rnacentral:rRNA from 1 species